rfam:Gossypium hirsutum cultivar TM-1 chromosome 1, whole genome shotgun sequence
CUGUAAAAAUUUCAUCAAUUUCAACUGUUAAAAAUUAACAUGACUAACAUAGUAACCAAACAGUAACAUGUGGCAUGCCACAUGUACCUCAUGCCGACAUACAGAGACCAAUUUUUUAACGAUAGGAAUGGAUGAAAUUUAUAAUA